rnacentral:rRNA from 1 species
AUUGAACGCUGGCGGCAUGCCUUACACAUGCAAGUCGAACGGUAACAGGUCUUCGGAUGCUGACGAGUGGCGAACGGGUGAGUAAUACAUCGGAACGUGCCCGAGAGUGGGGGAUAACGAGGCGAAAGCUUUGCUAAUACCGCAUACGAUCUCAGGAUGAAAGCAGGGGACCGCAAGGCCUUGCGCUCACGGAGCGGCCGGUGGCAGAUUAGGUAGUUGGUGGGAUAAAAGCUUACCAAGCCGACGAUCUGUAGCUGGUCUGAGAGGCCGACCCGCCACACUGGGACUGAGACACGGCCCAGACUCCUACGGGAGGCAGCAGUGGGGAAUUUUGGACAAUGGGCGCAAGCCUGAUUCAGCCAUGCCGCGUGCAGGAUGAAGGCCUUCGGGUUGUAAACUGCUUUUGUACGGAACGAAAAGACUCUGGUUAAUACCUGGGGUCCAUGACGGUACCGUAAGAAUAAGCACCGGCUAACUACGUGCCAGCCGCCGCAGUAAGAC